CAGUCGCCGCGGUAAAACGGAGGGCGCGAGCGUUACCCGGAUUUACUGGGCGUAAAGGGCGUGUAGGCGGCCUGGGGCGUCCCAUGUGAAAGGCCACGGCUCAACCGUGGAGGAGCGUGGGAUACGCUCAGGCUAGAGGGUGGGAGAGGGUGGUGGAAUUCCCGGAGUAGCGGUGAAAUGCGCAGAUACCGGGAGGAACGCCGAUGGCGAAGGCAGCCACCUGGUCCACUUCUGACGCUGAGGCACGAAAGCGUGGGGAGCAAACAGGAUUAGAUACCCCGGUAGUCCCUGUCUCUUAUAC
rnacentral:rRNA from 1 species